rnacentral:rRNA from 1 species
UCGUAACAAGGCAUAUCAAUAAGCGGAGGAUGGAAGUAAAAGUCGUAACAAGGCAUAUCAAUUAGCGGAGGAAACUUCUUGUUUCCAUGGUGGGUUCGCCCACCACUAGGACAAACAUAAACCUUUUGUAAUUGCAAUCAGCGUCAGUAACAAAUUAAUAAUUACAACUUUCAACAACGGAUCUCUUGGUUCUGGCAUCGAUGAAGAACGCAGCGAAAUGCGAUAAGUAGUGUGAAUUGCAGAAUUCAGUGAAUCAUCGAAUCUUUGAACGCACAUUGCGCCCUUUGGUAUUCCAAAGGGCAUGCCUGUUCGAGCGUCAUUUGUACCCUCAAGCUUUGCUUGGUGUUGGGCGUCUUGUCUCUAGCUUUGCUGGAGACUCGCCUUAAAGUAAUUGGCAGCCGGCCUACUGGUUUCGGAGCGCAGCACAAGUCGCACUCUCUAUCAGCAAAGGUCUAGCAUCCAUUAAGCCUUUUUUUCAACUUUUGACCUCGGAUCAGGUAGGGAUACCCGCUGAACUUAAGCA